rnacentral:rRNA from 1 species
AUUGAACGCUGGCGGCGUGCUUAACACAUGCAAGUCGUGCGGUAACAGGCGUAGCAAUACGUGCUGACGAGCGGCGAACGGGUGCGUAAUACAUGGGAAUCUGCCUUUUAGUGGGGAAUAACCCGGCGAAAGCCGGGCUAAUGCCGCAUAAGAUCUUCGGAUGAAAGCGGGGGAUCGUAAGACCUCGCGCUGAUAGAUGAGCCCAUGCCGGAUUAGCUAGNGGUGAGGUAACGGCUCACCAAGGCGACGAUCCGUAGCUGGUCUGAGAGGACGGCCAGCCACACUGGGACUGAGACACGGCCCAGACUCCUACGGGAGGCAGCAGUGGGGAAUAUUGGACAAUGGGGGAACCCUGAUCCAGCGACGCCGCGUGUGUGAAGAAGGCCUGCGGGUUGUAAA